rnacentral:rRNA from 1 species
UCGACGGCAGCACGGGGGCAACCCUGGUGGCGAGUGGCGAACGGGUGAGUAAUAUAUCGGAACAUGUCCGGAAGUGGGGGAUAACGUACCGAAAGGUACGCUAAUACCGCAUAUGCCCUGAGGGGGAAAGCGGGGGAUCGUAAGACCUCGCGCUUUCGGAGUGGCCGAUAUCAGAUUAGCUAGUUGGUGAGGUAAAGGCUCACCAAGGCGACGAUCUGUAGCUGGUCUGAGAGGACGACCAGCCACACUGGAACUGAGACACGGUCCAGACUCCUACGGGAGGCAGCAGUGGGGAAUUUUGGACAAUGGGCGCAAGCCUGAUCCAGCCAUGCCGCGUGAGUGAAGAAGGCCUUCGGGUUGUAAAGCUCUUUCAGCCGGAAAGAAAACGCACGGGAUAAUACCUUGUGUGGAUGACGGUACCGGAAGAAGAAGCACCGGCUAACUACGUGCCAGCAGCCGCGGUAAUACGUAGGGUGCGAGCGUUAAUCGGAAUUACUGGGCGUAAAGCGUGCGCAGGCGGUUUUGUAAGACAGAUGUGAAAUCCCCGGGCUUAACCUGGGAACUGCAUUUGUGACUGCAAGACUAGAGUACGGCAGAGGGGGGUAGAAUUCCACGUGUAGCAGUGAAAUGCGUAGAUAUGUGGAGGAAUACCGAUGGCGAAGGCAGCCCCCUGGGUCGAUACUGACGCUCAUGCACGAAAGCGUGGGGAGCAAACA